UUCAUCAGAGCGCACACACCGGGUUAGCCAUCCCUGCACUUUAAGCUAAAAUGGAUAGAAAAAAACCCAAAAACGUCUUCCAUCGGAUUAUACAUCCUAAUGCCGGAAUACAUACAAGCUGCAGUUGUGAGCAGUGCAACGCUACCUGUGGCGUUGCACUGCUCAUACAUCUUUUUUUUCUUCUUUUUUUAUUGUUUUUUUUCGGCGCGAAACUGACGGAUGGGUUGUUUGUUUUUCGUUUUCAUUUUCCUUUUCCUCUCCUCUCCCGCUGCUUUCUCUCGUCUGCGUCUCUGUCUCUCAAGGUCUGUUGCUUGUUUUUAUUUUUCAUUUUCCUUUUCACUCUACCUUUUACUUUUCCUCUCCUCUCCCGCUGCUUUCUCUCGUCUGCGUCUCUGUCUCUCAAGGUCUGCUCUUUCCCUCAUCUUCUCUCUAUCUCUCAAGGUCUUCUCCCUCUCUCUCUCUCUCUCUCUCACUCGAUUUAUGGUCUCUCUUCUCUGUUUUCAUCCAGGACUCGUGACGAAAUCGUCUAGUUCGUGAACUUUGUUCUUAGCCGCACAACCCAUCCCCUUCCCGGCCCCUGCUUCCCAUCGCACCACAGAGAGAGAGAGAGAGAGAGAGAGAGAGGGAGAGAGAGCCAAGAGUCUGGGAAGAAGAAGAAGAAGAAGGUGAAAGGAGUGGGUAUCUUCAAAAAAGCACAUGGAGAAACGACAAAGCUAGCUAGACCAUCUCCGUCCUCCUUCUAGGGUUUGCGGAAUGGUGACUUUGGAGAGCAAAAGCUUGAUAGGCCUCGUGAAUCGGAUACAGAGGGCGACAGGCGUGGUGGAUUUGCCGAAGCUCGCUUCAAGACCUUCGGUUGUGGCUCCCGGAUUGUAUCCUCGUCCAUAGGUAUACUCUUCAAAAUUUUUAUUGUCGCCUCUUCCAUUUCGUGAGCCACUGUGACUAGCUAGUUGUCAAGGAAAUUGGUUUAACUGCAUUCAGAGAGAGAAUCCUUUCAGAAGAAAUUGCUUGCCGGGGGAGGCCGGCUGGCCUCCCUCCCUCCGGUUCCCUGUGUCCCUUAGUCCAAGAGGAGGGUAGUUUUUUUUGUCAGCCAUUAGGGCUGUGAUGCUUUUGUUCCCCCUGGUUGAUCCGGAGGUGGCUGUCUUUCCCCUAGCCUUUGAGGCUACGGUGGUUUGUAUUUGUGUUUGUUUUUUCUUUCUUGUUGUCUCAGGCAGUAAAGCUAAAAUCAAGGUUUCCAGCUUGGGGAAGUGGUGGUCGUUCGUGUCUUUUAACGGUGGUUUUGGCCAGUUCUUUAUCUGUUUUUCUUGGAUUUUCGAAGCCAGAUCUACUCAACCCCGUUGCUUUUGUCAAGACACGCGCCCCUCAGCCUCGUUCUUCUUCUUCGUCUGCUCCCGCUGCUUGAAGCACCGGUCAUGUCGGUGGUCAGAGUUCGGUGCGUGACCUACACGCGCCAGAGAGCCUAUUGCUUUCUGACACGCGUGAUGGCCAUGCUCCGCAUUUUUCUGGCCGUGCUCGAUGAGGAUGGGGGCUACGAUGGCUGAUCUACGGCUGGGUGGUAACGGCACAUGUCAUCCACGCGCCACCGUAGCUGACGAAGUCCGCCCCUGCCUUUCUACCGGCAGCUUUGUUUUUUGGUAUUCUGUUUUGUGUUGUGUAUUCUCUUGUUUCUCCUGUACAGUUUGCUUGUGUACUGCUCAUAUUUUAUUAGAAUUUGUGUUGGCUAGAUGCUAGAUCGGCCCUCUUUUAUUUGAGAGUGAGCGUUAAUGUAAGAGAUGUUCAAAUGUAAUUCUAGUAAGGCUUGAUGUCUCUGCUCAAGCAAUUGUUUUUAAUAUCAGAUCCUUCUGACUUAGAAUUUAAGGGUGACUACCCUUAUUUCUCAAGA